rnacentral:rRNA from 1 species
GAGUCGUAAGAGGUAUGCCUUGACUUGCAUCUCGUAUCGGGUAGCCGUAAGUCGGAUCAAGGUAAUUGUAGAGUUGGUGCAUGAAUAUUGAAAACGGGCACCGUAGUGGGGGAUAACUACUCGAAAGAAUGGCUAAUACCGCAUGAGAUCUAUGGAUGAAAGCAGGGGACCUUCGGGCCUUGCGCUACUAGAGCGGCCGAUGGCAGAUUAGGUAGUUGGUGGGAUAAAAGCUUACCAAGCCUACGAUCUGUAGCUGGUCUGAGAGGACGAUCAGCCACACUGGGACUGAGACACGGCCCAACUCCUACGGGAGGCAGCAGUGGGGAAUUUUGGACAAUGGGCGCAAGCCUGAUCCAGCAAUGCCGCGUGCAGGAUGAAGGCCUUCGGGUUGUAAACUGCUUUUGUACGGAACGAAAAGUCUUGGGUUAAUACCCUGGGAUCAUGACGGUACCGUAAGAAUAACCCGGCUAAUACUGCCACACCGCGGUAAUACGUAGGGGUGCAAGCGUUAUUCGGAAAUACUGGGCGUAAAGCGUGCAAGCGGUUUUGUAAGACAGUGGUGAAAUCCCCGGGCUCACCCUGGGAACUGCCAUUGUGACUGCAAGGUUGGAUUGCGGCAAAGGGAAUAGAGAUCCCCCGUGAACAAGAAAUGCAUAA